UUUAAAAAAAACCCAGCUUGUUUCAUUCGUCUGUAAAUCUCUUUGGCGGAGAUUGAAUAUAUAAGUGUCACGGAACACACUUGAUAUAAUAUCAAGGAAACUCGGCGUUUUUAAUUAUUUUUAGUCCGGCAUGAAUCUCUUGGAUAGUUAGGUGGGUGUACAAUCUUAUACAGAACAUGUUCUGGAAUCAUAGAAGAAUCGCCUUUCAUGGUCAGAUUCCCUAAUUGAAAAGUGUACAUCCACCGCGGAAUCACAUUAAGGGGCGGAGGAGCAAAUGAGAGAUACAACGUGCAAGGACAUUGUUUGCCACAUAUGGUAACAGAGUGCACAAAUAUCAACACACAGGCCUGGAAAUGGUCAGUCAAGUCACUAACAGAAUAAUCGCAAAAGGACGUAGCAUGUCCAAAUAAUCUUGGAGGAACCAUGCCGAUGGCAAUGCCGGUAUUUUAUUUCGAUAUGCGAGAAAUCGAUAACUUAAGCGUUGGGUCUACUUAUAAUAAACCUUAAUUCCGGUGUCAACGUCCUUCUUGUUUGGGAUUGGUUGUAAUUACCACCGCCAAGAAGAUGACUGCAAAACGAGCUCCAAUUCAAAUGAACAAAAUAGCAUGUAAACACCGCCUCCGAGAAAAAGAAAUCCACGUGCGAAAGGAACGAACUGAGAAACCCUGCAGACGAUAGAAAACGUGACUACUAGAUAACGAAGCGAAUAUACGAGAACCACAGACUAGGCUCUCUUUGAUCAUCUGAUUUAAUUGACAACAUCAAAUCCUAUUACAGGAGACGUUGGCACUGCAGACGAUCUUGGUGUCGUUUUCUGUAGAGCGGAAUGUUUAACGGUUUAUAUCACCCUCUUUGAAAUCAUUUAUAUCAUGAAUUUUAUAUUAUAUCGGAUCAUGUUAUGAAAGGCACGAAAAGUCUAUAGCAAUAAAUGCAACAAACGGAGUUUGAAGAAUACAACGUCACGUAGUUCUGAGACAACAGAAUUAACACCUGAUGUCAUAUACAAAAAAUACAGUAACCGCUUUUUAUCAUUUCAACUUACAAUUUUACAUCACUCUGAAAAUUCCUUUAACUUUUGAUGAAAGUGAAAAAAUUCAUGACCAGUAUACCGGUACCAUAUUAUGUCAGUGAUAUGACUGUAUGUAUACGAUUAAAAAUAAUUAUAUACAGGGGUGCUUACUCUUCCUUGACAUAUGAUCCCACUUUCAUUAUUUCCAGGGGUCCUUGCUUACCCUACUUUCAAUAUUGCAUUCUGAAUAGUUUUAUAGGAUUGAUCACUCCUCGUUAUCUCAACUUGUUUUAUCUGGAAUCUAUCGGGGAAAAGGAAAGAAAAAAAAAAGGUGUCCAGCAACGGACGCUUGACGGACCCUGCAUGCAGAACUAUAAUACACUGUACAUCUAACAGGACCCCUCAUCACGAAGCACCUUCUGAUGAUACGAUGUACCUUCUGAUGAUACGAUGUACCUUCUGAUGAUACGAUGUACCUUCUGAUAAUACGAUGUACCUUCUGAUGAUACGAUAUACCUUCUGAUGAUAAUAUGUACCUUCUGAUGAUACGAUGUACCUUCUGAUGAUACUAUGUACCUUCUGAUAAUACGAUAUACCUUCUGGUGAUACGAUGUACCUUCUGAUAAUACGAUGUACCUUCUGAUAAUACGAUGUACCUUCUGAUAAUACGAUGUACCUUCUGAUGAUACGAUAUACCUUCUGAUGAUACUAUGUACCUUCUGAUAAUGCAAUGUUCCUUCUGAUAAUACGAUGUUCCUUCUGAUAUUUGCCAUGCAACUUCUGAUAAUUGCCAUGUACAUGUACCUUCUAAUGGUCAAUGGCUAUAUAGAUAUUUUAAAAUUUUGCAUUUUGACUGUCUACUAUUGACAUAAAUAGUACUAGGGUUGUUCAGCAUGAUAACGCUAGCCUUUUCUUCUAUUCAAAAUCGAUUUAAGGCAUUUAUACUGGCUAAAUGCGCUCUUUACCAUAUUUGCAGUUAGAAACAUGUUUGUUUGUUCUUGGGAGAAGUGAAUUCAUUCUAAUACAUACAGAUGACCGAGAGUAUAGAUGAGUCUUUGUAUUAAUACUAAGCAGAGCUGGUGAUGGGUUCCGAAGGAAUGAAUAGUAUAGGAUUGAUAGUGUUAAUGGCCUCAGCCGGAUUAUCCCUCUGCCAACAAUUUCAUAAUGUCUACGUAAAUAUAUAAUACACGGCGACGACAAACAACAAUGCUGUAGUCCUUAUUCCUUUAUCUCAUACAGCAAAGCAUUCUUGGUGAUAUUUCGGGGGGAAAUAUGUUGCAACAAUUUGAAGUGUCUUUAUCGACCUUAAACAGCAAAAUUAAUCACAGGAAAUUCAUUUAUCGUGAAUUCAAAUAAAGCAUUAUAAAAUAACAGUUUCCGUAUCCUAGCAACAUGACAACGGCGUAACCAUGGAUACAGGGAAUUUUUACAAAUGUUUUAUAGUGGGCAUUAACAUGAAAUAAAUACAAAAAGUCGUAUGGGGUUCACACUGAAUGACAUUUAUGAUCGCAGCCAACAGUUAAUUUACAGAACAUGCAACACUCUCGAAGACUAGUUCAACUUUCUUUGUGAAUAAUGAUAGUUUAUACUAGGUUCAAUGAUAUGUUUUAAAUGAUACGUGCACUAAGACCUACUUACAUUCAAGGUAAGUAGAUAAUUUUGUUCAGGUGAUACAACGCUUGCAAUUCUAGAAAUAUUCCAGCAAGUCAUGAAUUCAUCAUGGUCUGUCAAACAGUAUUUGUGCAAUUAAAGAACCGUAAUAAAUAUUUUGUUA